rnacentral:rRNA from 1 species
ACUCCUACGGGAGGCAGCAGUGGGGAAUUUUGGACACUGGGCGAAAGCCUGAUCCAGCCAUGCCGCGUGCAGGAUGAAGGCCUUCGGGUUGUAAACUGCUUUUGUACGGAACGAAACGGCCUUUUCUAAUAAAGAGGGCUAAUGACGGUACCGUAAGAAUAAGCACCGGCUAACUACGUGCCAGCAGCCGCGGUAAUACGUAGGGUGCAAGCGUUAAUCGGAAUUACUGGGCGUAAAGCGUGCGCAGGCGGUUAUGUAAGACAGUUGUGAAAUCCCCGGGCUCAACCUGGGAACUGCAUCUGUGACUGCAUAGCUAGAGUACGGUAGAGGGGGAUGGAAUUCCGCGUGUAGCAGUGAAAUGCGUAGAUAUGCGGAGGAACACCGAUGGCGAAGGCAAUCCCCUGGACCUGUACUGACGCUCAUGCACGAAAGCGUGGGGAGCAAACAGGAUUAGAAACCCCUGUAGUCCCAUGA